UACGUAGGGGGCUAGCGUUGUCCGGAAUCAUUGGGCGUAAAGAGCGUGUAGGCGGCCCGGUAAGUCCGCUGUAAAAAGUCAAAAGGCUCAACCUUUGAAUGUCAGUGGAUACUGCCGGGCUAGAGUCCGGAAGAGGCGAGUGGAACUCCUGGUGUAGCGGUGGAAUGCGCAGAUAUCAGGAAGAACACCAACGGCGAAGGCAGCUCGCUGGGACGGUACUGACGCUGAGACGCGAAAGCGUGGGGAGCGAACAGG
rnacentral:rRNA from 1 species